rnacentral:lncRNA from 1 species
UAUUUAUAAACAAAUUGAAUGAAAAUAUUCAAUUUGGUAAAGAUAAUUUAAUGUCCUAAAUGUUAUUUUCUGUUACCUACUUAAAUAUACCCAUUAAUUUACAGUAAUGAAUAUAAUGAAGGUCUAUAUCUGAAAAUGCAAGAAAUAGUGUCUUAAGGGAUGGGUACAUAAGUUUUGGAUUUCCAUGAAUUGGCAGUAUUGAAGUACAUAUGUGCUUUUUUUGAGAACUAGAACAAAAACAGCCAGGUGGAAAAUGACAUGAGAAAUUUGAGUUGAGCACUAUUGGAAGAAACAAAGUUUUUUUCUUCAUAUUGCCAAGAUUUUUUUUUGUUUCAUUUCAUUUAGAAUAUCCACUGGAGAUGAUUUCAAGAUGUAGAGUCCUUAUAUGUACAGUAUCCUCAAUGAAGUUGGAGCACACGUGUUGAAAUUGCUUCAUGUUCCGAACAAGUUGAAAAAUUCUAACCUUGUCCCCAGGGUAUUUCAUCAAGAGCAAUCUUAAAUAAAAGCUUGCUUUUUCGCUUUUCAGAGGUAAGAUUGUCCCUGUACUCAUGCUCUGCCGUUUCUAAAUGAGCUAGAAGGAAUUUGUAUGCAGUCCUUUGGCUGGUUUUAAUUUUUGCAUUAUAUCAGGAUCUAGUCCAAUGUAAUGCCACUUUUGAGAGAAUUUUAUUUGGAAAAUAGCUGGAUGGUAUUGACUCAUUUGGAGUCACUAGUGGGGUCCACAUUGAAGGAAAGAGGUGGUAAGUUCCCAUCAUAAAAGUAUUUUAUUCUGCUUUAGUCUAUCCUGUUCCAUGUGAGGGUACUUUGCCCAAAUCUCAACUAAGGGGACAAGUAGGAACAUUUUACCCAGAAGAUUUAAGCUGAAUAUAUGCUAGUUAAAAAGAGAGGGAGAAAGUAAGUUAACCUAACACAGGAACUGCUUCCUUAAGUGGGAGUAAAAAAUGUGGAGUCACAGUCAACCUUUCAGUAAUGGAUAAUUGCUGAAGCAAUUAAUCUUUAUAUGGAGAUUGCCUCUGUGCCACAAUCAAUCAUAUCAGAAAGACCCACAUAGACUGUGGACUAUAGAGAAGAGUCCUCAUGGUGCCCAUCAAAACUUGACAUUCAUGAUUGCUCUCUAAAGUAGCAGGAAGCCAGAAAGAACUAUGGGGU